rnacentral:tRNA from 1 species
AGGGGCGUGGUGAAAUGGUAACACAGCGGAUUUUGACUCCGUUAUUUGUAGGUUCGAUUCCUACCGUCUCUG